rnacentral:rRNA from 1 species
UAGGGAAUCUUCCACAAUGGACGCAAGUCUGAUGGAGCAACGCCGCGUGAGUGAAGAAGGUUUUCGCAUCGUAAAGCUCUGUUGUUGGUGAAGAAGGAUAGAGGCAGUAACUGGUCUUUAUUUGACGGUAAUCAACCAGAAAGUCACGGCUAACUACGUGCCAGCAGCCGCGGUAAUACGUAGGUGGUAAGCGUUGUCCGGAUUUAUUGGGCGGAAAGCGAGCGCAGGCGGAAUGAUAAGUCUGAUGUGAAAGCCCACGGCUCAACCGUGGAACUGCAUCGGAAACUGUCAUUCUUGAGUGCAGAAGAGGAGAGUGGAAUUCCAUGUGUAGCGGUGGAAUGCGUAGAUAUAUGGAAGAACACCAGUGGCGAAGGCGGCUCUCUGGUCUGCAACUGACGCUGAGGCUCGAAAGCAUGGGUAGCGAACAGG